CCCAUUCCCCCUUAGGCGGCGGCUCCAAAAGGUUACCUCACCGAGCAACGCCGCGUGAGUGAAGAAGUUUUCGGAUCGUAAAACUCUGUUGUUAGAGACGAACAAGGAUGUGAGUAACUGUUCGGCCCGGGAAGGUAUUCAACCAGAAAGCCGCGGCUAAUUACGUGCCAGCAGCCGCGAUUAUACGUAGGUGGCUAGCGAUGUCCGGCUUUAUUGGGCGUAAAGCGAGCGCAGGCUGCUUCUUAAAUCCGAACUGAGAGACCCCGGCUUUACCGGAGAGAUUCAUUGGAAGCUGGGCGACUUGAGUGCAGCAGAGGAGAGUGGACUUCCCUGUGUAGCGGUGAAAUGCGUAGAUAUAUGGAGGAAGACCAUUGGCGUCGGCGGCUCUCCGGUCUGUCACCGACGCUGAGGCUCGCAAGCGUGGGGAGCCAACAGGAUUAGAUACCCUGGUAGUCCACGCCGUAAACGAUGAGUGCUACGUGUUGGAGGGUUUCCGCCCUUCAGUGCUGCAGCUAACGCAUUAUGCACUCCGCCUGGGGAGUACGCCCGCAAGGUUGAAACUCAAAGGAAUUGACGGGGGCCCGCACAAGCGGUGGAGCAUGUGGUUUACUUCGAAGCAACGCCACGAACCUUACCGGGUGUUGACAUCCGUCAAUUCCUUUAGAGAUAGAGCUUCCCCCUCGGGGUCAAAGUCCCAGGUGGUGCAUGGUGGUCGUUAGCUGGUGUCGUGAGAUGUUGGGUUAAGUCCCGCAACGAGCGCAACCCUUAUUGUUAGUUGCCAUCAUUCAGUUGGGCAUUCUAGCAAGACUGCCGGUGACAAACCGGAGGAAGGUGGGGAUGACGUCAAAUCCUCAUGCCCCUUAUGCCCUGGGCUACACACGUGCUACAAUGGGAAGUACAACGAGUUGCGAAGUCGCGAGGCUAAGCUAAUCUCUUAAAGCUUCUCUCAUUUCGGGCUACAGAAUUCCACUCGCCUGCAUGAAGCCGGAAUCGCUAGUAAUCGCGGAUGAGCCCGCCCCGGUUGAGCCGUUCCGGGGGCUUGUACACACCGCCCGUCAGACCACGAGAGUUUGUAACAUGCGACGUCGGUGAGGUAACCUUUAGGAGCCGGCCCAAUAAAAUGGGACACAAGA
rnacentral:rRNA from 1 species